GGUAAUACGGAGGGUGCAAGCGUUAAUCGGAAUUACUGGGCGUAAAGCGCACGCAGGCGGUUUGUUAAGUCAGAUGUGAAAUCCCCGCGCUUAACGUGGGAACUGCAUUUGAAACUGGCAAGCUAGAGUCUUGUAGAGGGGGGUAGAAUUCCAGGUGUAGCGGUGAAAUGCGUAGAGAUCUGGAGGAAUACCGGUGGCGAAGGCGGCCCCCUGGACAAAGACUGACGCUCAGGUGCGAAAGCGUGGGGAGCAAACAGGAUUAGAUACCCUGGUAGUCCACGCUGUAAACGAUGUCGACUUGGAGGUUGUGCCCUUGAGGCGUGGCUUCCGGAGCUAACGCGUUAAGUCGACCGCCUGGGGAGUACGGCCGCAAGGUUAAAACUCAAAUGAAUUGACGGGGGCCCGCACAAGCGGUGGAGCAUGUGGUUUAAUUCGAUGCAACGCGAAGAACCUUACCUACUCUUGACAUCCACGGAAUUCGCCAGAGAUGGCUUAGUGCCUUCGGGAACCGUGAGACAGGUGCUGCAUGGCUGUCGUCAGCUCGUGUUGUGAAAUGUUGGGUUAAGUCCCGCAACGAGCGCAACCCUUAUCCUUUGUUGCCAGCACGUAAUGGUGGGAACUCAAAGGAGACUGCCGGUGAUAAACCGGAGGAAGGUGGGGAUGACGUCAAGUCAUCGUGGCCCUUACGAGUAGGGCUACACACGUGCUACAAUGGCAUAUACAAAGAGAAGCGAACUCGCGAGAGCAAGCGGACCUCAUAAAGUAUGUCGUAGUCCGGAUUGGAGUCUGCAACUCGACUCCAUGAAGUCGGAAUCGCUAGUAAUCGUAGAUCAGAAUGCUACGGUGAAUACGUUCCCGGGCCUUGUACACACCGCCCGUCACACCAUGGGAGUGGGUUGCAAAAGAAGUAGGUAGCUUAACCUUCGGGAGGGCGCUUACCACUUUGUGAUUC
rnacentral:rRNA from 1 species